GUUUGUGGAGGGCCUAACAUAGGUAGACCAAGGUGUAGCAGUGGUUUUCUAUUUGCUUACCAAGAUUCAAGGCAAGUUUUGAAAAUGCUAAACUACUGAAUAAGAAUUAAAGAGAAGUUUAGAAUUUCACAGGUGAGAGAUUAGUGUUCUCAAGUAGUAUGAAAUUGGUCACGAAAAUGGUCCAAUGAACUGACAUGCUUUGCUCACCAGCUCUGCAUCAGGUUCAUAUUUCUAAGUACCAGAAUAAAAUAAUAAGCAGGGCAGACAGGGACACUGCUCUUAUUAAGCUUAUAUCCUAGCCAGAUUAAAGGACGAUGACAAGAAGUAUCAUAAACAAGAGGACUAUGAGAUAAAUUAUACAUAGGCUUCUUAGAAUUCAGAAAAGGUAAAGAACCACGUGGGUUCCUUUGGAUUAGGUUGCCAAGGGAAGGCCCCUGGGAAGAUGUGGCCUUUCACAGGGAUCUGAAUGACAAGAAGCCAGCAAUGCCAAGUUCAGGGAUUGGAGAGCAUUCUACUGCAGGCACACAUCCCAAGCCAGGGCCUGGCUUCGCCUGUGAAGUCCAGGAAAGUCACUUUGACUCAGGGGGAUUGGGUAUGGAAGAGAGUAAGGAAACGUUGAAGCUAAAGACAAGCAGGGACCAUCUCAUACUUCAGGACAGGGAAAUUUCACAUCAAAGCCUGGAUGUUCCAUUUUAAAGAAUAUAUGAAAAUUACUAGGGCGUGUCAUUUCUCUCAAGCAAGAAGAAAUUAAUUUUCAGCUAUGACAGAAAGAUGUGCUCCAAGGAGAGACAUCUUAAUGGAGGAAGUAUGACUGAAGCAUAAAUGGAAUCUUUCCUUAAAGAAGAGCUCUGGAAAGGUUAUGGCAAGCCACAGUUACUGAAGCGUACUACAGAGCGCUCACUGCUUUCUUAACCUGGGAGAUGUGACCUGAUUUUCCCCCCCACUUUCAUUCAAGGUCAUCCACUAAACGUGCAGAAAUAAAAACUGAAAAGAAAACAAUUCAAAGGAGGGACAGACAAAGAAGAGUUUAGAUGCUCCUUUUUAAAUACGACACUGGUUUAAAAUAACCUAGGAUGAAAGGGUCAGUUAAGAAGGGCACUGCUUAAAAUUUAAGCAGGCAGUAAUGCAUUGAAAGCGACAGACCUCAAACAAUUUGAGUCUUUCACAGUUGAAUGGAUUCACAGUGACAGCGAGACAAGGAUGUGCUUACUUACCUCUGUA